rnacentral:rRNA from 1 species
GACAGGGGGUGCAAGCGGUACUCGGAAUUACUGGGCGUAAAGAGCGUGUAGGCGGUCUAUUAAGUCCACUGUGAAAGCCCCCGGCUCAAUCAGGGAAGUGCAGUGGAUACUGCUAGACUAGAGUGCAGGAGAGGAGGGUGGAAUUCCCGGUGUAGAGGUGAAAUUCGUAGAUAUCGGGAGGAACAACAGAGGCGAAGGCGGCCCUCUGGACUGCAACUGACGCUUAGGCGCGAAAGCGUGGGGAGCAAACAGG